GUGGAUUAGAUACCCUAGUAGUCCACGCCGUAAACGAUGGGUGCUAGGUGUCACGGGCUUUGACUCCUGUGGUGCCGUAGCCAACGCAUUAAGCACCCCGCCUGGGAAGUACGGCCGCAAGGCUAAAACUCAAAGGAAUUGACGGGGGCCCGCACAAGCGGUGGAGCAUGUGGUUUAAUUCGACGCAACGCGAAGAACCUUACCUGGGCUAGAAAGUAUGCGAACCUGGUAGAAGUAUCGGGGUGCUCUUCGGAGAACGCAUAGUUAGGUGCUGCACGGCUGUCGCCAACU
rnacentral:rRNA from 1 species